GAUGAACGCUGGCGGCGUGCCUAACACAUGCAAGUCGAGCGAACCCUUUGGGGUGAGCGGCGGACGGGUGAGUAACGCGUGGGUAACCUGCCCUACACACGGAUAACGUACCGAAAGGUACGCUAAUACGGGAUAAAGUUGUUGGAUGGCAUCUUCUAACAAUCAAAGCUCCGGCGGUAUAGGAUGGACCCGCGUCUGAUUAGCUAGUUGGUGAGGUAAUGGCUCACCAAGGCGACGAUCAGUAGCCGACCUGAGAGGGUGAUCGGCCACACUGGAACUGAGACACGGUCCAGACUCCUACGGGAGGCAGCAGUGGGGAAUAUUGCACAACGGGCGAAAGCCUGAUGCAGCAACGCCGCGUGAGCGAUGAAGGUCUUCGGAUCGUAAAGCUCUGUCCUCAAGGAAGAUAAAGACGGUACUUGAGGAGGAAGCCCCGGCUAACUACGUGCCAGCAGCCGCCGUAA
rnacentral:rRNA from 1 species